CACGUGACCCUAGGUCUGGGCGGAGCGCACGCCUACGUCUCGGCCGCCACCUGCCUGCUGGUCCUCGUCGCCGUCCUCACGGGCCGCCGUUGGCUGUCGCUGCCCGCGCUGCUGCUCACGGCCGCGGACCUCCUGGGUGACGUCUCGGACGCCGUCGUCGCCACCUACCUUCUCGUGCUGUACUCUGGCGUGUACUCUGCGCUCGUGUACGCCUUCUUCGCCGGCAUCGUCAUAGCGCUCGAGUACUACCUGUGGAGCGGCGCGCUGCGCUGGUACGAGCAGUGGCUGGGCCUCCAGUUCAAGCUCCUGGACCGCCGGCUCCGCGGGCGGGGCCCACCGUCUGUCGCCAGCUCGGCGUCGUCCGUCAUGGACUGAGUCGUCGCGGCGGUGCAGGUCAAAGACAGCAACCGACCUCAAUGGGAUAUUUACAAUUUUAUUCUUAGC